CGGUUUAAACUCUCCGCCGCGUCUUUCUCUCCCGAGUCCGCCGCCGCCAUGUUCGCUUCCUUCUACCACGAGUGGCGCUACGGGUGGCCGAGAGAGACAAUCAACAGGAGUCGAGACGCGUUUCGCUUAUUUCUGUGACGCAGCUCGAGGUCUGGAUUAGCGAGGAACAGCAGGAAUAACACAGGAAAACAGCAGGAAUAACAUACAGAGUUCGGUGUGUGGUCUGAGGACACAGAGGAAAACGAGGAAUAAUUCACGCCAAAAAUGUGUGGGGAAAACGAGAAGGACACAAAACACCUGCGUCUUCUGCUCGGUGACCUUCACGAAUGACCCCUGCGUGAAAAUCAGCUGUAAACGCUCGUGUGAAGAUGAGGAGGGAUUCAUUUAUACGUCGGAAUAACCCAGAGCUGGACCAGAGGGGAGUAGAGGAAGAGCUCUGAAUUGGGAAGACGGAGGUCAGCACCCGGAGAGAUUAUGGAAAACUGUGUGAGUGAGCGAAAGAGAGAGAAAGAAAGACAAAGAGACAGAGAGAAAAAGAGAGAGUGAUCUGCUGCAGUAAGACUCCGACUCUCUCUCACUCUUCACUGCAAAUCUGCCUCGAGUUCCAACAAGUCAACAAGUCACCGGAGGCUUUACACUCGGCUGACGUCUCAGAGAGUCGCCAGUCACGGCGCAGUCUGUUGUACUCGCCAACCAAAAGAGCAUCAUACUGAUUCAUCUGUCAUGCAUGUUUUUGUCUUUUUUAAAGAAAUUGUUAGACGUGAAAAUCUAAUUUGCUCCCACUGUAGUUAAAACAAGUUGAACUGCAGACCCAAAGCUAAUGUAGCUAACAAGUAAUGAAAGCUCAUCUUCCACCAAUUAGCAUCGUGCAUAAGAGUCAUCGUACAUGUGAUUCAAACAGUGGCAAUUUGUAUUAAGUGCUUAUGUAAUGAUAACUUUUGGCUUAUUGAUUAAUAGAAAGCUGUUUGAUUUUCAGGUGUCACAACUUCUGCACUUCUGGCUUUCCUGUCUUUUCUAUAAUCCACUGAGAAGGAAGUACUGUUUAUUUUUGUUUACCAGAGCCACUUCGCUACAGA